UCUACGUGAGGCAGCAGUAGGGAAUAUUGCUCAAUGGGGGAAACCCUGACGCAGCAACGCCGCGUGGAGGAUGAAGGUUUUCGGAUUGUAAACUCCUUUUGUUAGAGAAGAUAAUGACGGUAUCUAACGAAUAAGCACCGGCUAACUCCGUGCUAGCAGCCGCGGUAAUACGGAGGGUGAAAGGCUUACUCGGAAUGACUGGGCGGAAAGAGCUCGGAGGCGGGAUAGAAAGUCAGAUGUGAAAUCCUAGGGCUUAACCAUAGAACUGCAUUUGAAACUGGUCUACUAGAGUAUGGGAGAGGUAGGUAGAAUUCUUGGUGUAGGGGUAAAAUCCGUAGAGAUCAAGAGGAAUACUCAUUGCGAAGGCGACCUGCUGGAACAUAACUGACGCUGAUGCGCGAAAGCGUGGGGAGCAAACAGGAUUAGAUACCCUUGUAGUC
rnacentral:rRNA from 1 species